rnacentral:rRNA from 1 species
AGCGAACGCUGGCGGCAGGCCUAACACAUGCAAGUCGAACGAACCUUUCGGGGUUAUUGGCGUACGGGUUUGUAACACGUCGGAACGUUCCUUUAGGUUCGGAAUAACUCAGGGACACUUGUACUAAUACCGAAUGUGCCCUUCGGGGGAAAGAUUUAUCGCCUUUAGAGCGGCCCGCGUCGGAUUAGCUAGUUGGUUGAGUUAAUGGCUCACCAAGGCGACGUUCAGUAGCUGGUCUGAGAGGAUGAUCAGCCACAUCGGGACUGAGACACAGCCCAAACUCCUACGGGAGGCAGCAGUGGGGAAUCGUGCAAAAUGGGCGAAAGCCUGAAGCAGCCAUGCCGGGUGAAUGAUGAAGGUCGUAGGAUUGUAAAAUUCUUUCAACGGGGACGAUAAUGACGGUACCCGGAGAAGAAGCCCCGGCUAACUUCGUG